rnacentral:misc_RNA from 1 species
UUCCCAAGCAGGCAUAACAAGGCGUUUAAGCCGUGGACACCUCUUGGCUGUAUAAGUCAGUUGAUUGUUGUCAACAUACAAAUUAUAAUGGAAGAUCAAGGUCAAUAGGUUUCCACGACUAAGGUUCAAGCAGAUCUUUAGGAUACGGGUCAAUUUUUCACGAGAUGGAGUGUCGACAAAUACAUAUGGCGGUGCUUGAGUUUUGAUGAAAUUUGACUGCAUUACUGACAAGUCCAGUGUUUUCCAGAGACGUUGAUCAGAACAAGCCAAUUGCCAUGCAGGACAAACUUGAGGAAUUACAGAGAUCAACUGGAAAAGGUCAAAGGACUGGAAUAUAUUCACCAGCAUAUCAAUAUUAAGGUCCUCCCAUCUCCUUACCGGAGAAUUUCGUUCUUCCAUCACAACAGCUUCAAUCUUUUCUUGUUUUUGAAAUGACAUCAUAAACACUUCAAUCUCCUAAGUUCCUUAAGAUUGUUUAUUCACUUCAGUGUGCGCAAAAAGUAUUGGGUGAAAAUUGUGGGAUGUUACUUGUGCUUUGAUGAGGAGUAAGAGUUGUAUACAGAAUCUUGGUCAAAUGGAAUGGAAAUGUCAUCCACCUGCUCUGAG